CUCUCUUACCUUCUCACUUGUUCACUUUGACAGAUCAAGGUAUUAUGCGGGGGAAUGCUGUGUGGAGAGGGCCAUGUCGCAAGAACUGAGGGUGGAAUGUAGCCGAAAUCUCAUGAGGAAUUGGAAGCUGCCAACAACCACCAGAGUGAGUUUGGAAGCUUCUUCUCCAAGAAAAGCCUGAUGGCUACACCCUUAGCCAAUAUAUGGACCACGUCCUUGUGAGAGAUGCAGAAGUACGGGACCCAGCAAACUCAUGGCUGGCUUCCUAUCCCACAUAUACUGUGAGGUGGAUCAUAAUUUUUUAUAAGUUGUUUUUAAACAAAAUAACUGAGAACUUAGUUGAGAAUCUGAGCUUCCAGUUAUAUAUGGCUGCAGGCAUCCUACCCCACCUCACUCUCCCCAUGCUUGAGUGUUUGUACCAUCAAGCAUGUGAUUCCAGAACAUUGAGCAGCCACUGCUUGGCAAAAGUCCACAGGAAUUGUGGGCAAAUAAGACCAGUUCUCAGAAAGAAAGACGACAACAGCCAAGAGAUGUCAAGCUGUGCCAUGAAUCCUUGGAUACAAUCAUGUCACCCCAGUGCUUCCCACUCACAUGGACUAAUACUCUUAUUGUGGUGUUUAAGAUACUUUGAAUGCAGUCUUUUUAAAGGGAAGUGUUCACACUUAAGAAGUAAUACAAAAAAACAUGCCGUGA